AUUAGGUACAAAAUUGUAUCCAUUUCUGUUUAGUAAACUGCUACUUAAUACUAUAUUUACGUUUUAUUUUUUUAGAUUCCAAGACUACAAUACAAUCAUAUUACUACCAUACCAUUGAUUUCUUCACGUAAAAGGACGAAACAACAUAAAAAAAGCUGAAAACCAUUAAUAUCAGAAAUACGAGAUGUUCUUAUUAAGCCACCCGAAGAAAAUAAAUACCAAACAUUGAAAACUGAAUUAAUCAAGAGGUUGAGUGCCAACCACGAACAGAAAAUGAAACAGCUGCAGCUGCUGGAACGAGAGGAGCUAGGAGAUAGAAAACGUCGCCAUUUCUGUAUCUCCUGAUGCGUACCACCAAUUUCUUCGUGGGUAACAUUUUUUUACUACGUCACUGGAUUCUACGUAAAAAUAUUUCAAAUAAACAGUUUUUACCCUUUUUCUAUCUUACAUGGGUAGUACAAUAUGAUAACAUUCUAAAAA